GACAGAGGGUGCAAACGUUGCUCGGAAUUACUGGGCGUAAAGCGCGUGUAGGUGGAUUGGUGUGUCAGAUGUGAAAGCCCUGGGCUCAACCAGGAACAGCACUGAAACUACCAGUCUUGAGUGGUGGAGAGGGAAGUGGAAUUCCUGGUGUAGAGGUGAAAUUCGUAGAUAUCAGGAGGAACACCAGUGGCGAAGGCGGCUUCCUGGACGACCAACUGACGCUGAGACGCGAAAGCGUGGGGAGCAAGCAGG
rnacentral:rRNA from 1 species